UACGAAGGGUGCAAGCGUUGCUCGGAAUUAUUGGGCGUAAAGGGUAGGUAGGUGGUUACGUAUGUCUGGGGUGAAAUCCCUGAGCUUAACUCAGGACGUGCCUUGGAAACGGCGUAACUAGAGUACUGGAGAGGUUCGUGGAAUUCCCGGUGUAGCGGUGAAAUGCGUAGAGAUCGGGAGGAACACCAGCGGCGAAGGCGGCGAACUGGACAGUAACUGACACUCAACUACGAAAGCGUGGGUAGCAAACAGGAUUAGAUACCCUGGUAGUCCACGCUGUAAACGAUGGGUACUAGGAUUGGUGGGAGUUGACCCCUGCCGAUCCGGAGCUAACGCGAUAAGUACCCCGCCUGGGAAGUACGGUCGCAAGACUAAA
rnacentral:rRNA from 1 species